UGUUUGAAGACAUGAUGCAGAAUAUAAGACAGGGAAUACAUGAUUAACCACCACUGUACACGGAGCAGAGACAAAUGGCCUUGACAAUGAAUCAUCCUGAGUUUAUGGUUGUUUUUCUAAUCCUUUCAAUUUACUGGGCUGGUACUGAGAGUCAAACACUGACUGAGUCUGAAUCAGUGGUUAAAAGGCCUGGAGACUCCCACAGACUGACCUGUACAUACUCAGGGUUCAGCAGUGAUAUUGAUGCAGCUUGGAUCAGACAA